AGCUUUCUGGAGAGGCGAUAUUGUAACCAAUGAAGUUCUACUGAGGUGCGAUUAUUGCUAGUUGAAAAUCGAUAU